AUGUGUAUUUAAAUCCACACAGAUAUGUCUUGUCGAUCUCGUCUGGCCACCCUCAAUGAAAAGUUGACAGCGUUGGAGAGAAGGAUUGAAUACAUAGAGGCCAGAGUGACAAAAGGGGAAACCUUGACCUAGGACUCAUCAUGGGGAUUCCCAACAUCCUGGAGUCAUCCACCCUCCACCCUGGAUUUUUGGACUAUGUGUGCUGGACUCAACCUUCCUUUUUUUUCUUAUGUGGACCAUUUUUAUAUCAUGCAGCUGUUUUGUCUUAUCACACAUUUGUAUAGACUUUGUUGGUAUCAGUGACUCAAGAAUCAUCUUUACUUCAAAACAAAACUAAGCUCUUUAAGUAUAUGUUUCAGAAAAAAAGGUUGUGGAGCUCAACUAUGGAUCUGCUAUUACCAUUAUUUAUACAAUGUCAUUAUCAAAUCAAAGAUUUAUGAAAAAGGGGAACAUUCCUUUGUGCCAAGUUGAACAAGUAAAUGUAAUCACUUUUAUUAACAAAAAAACAGAGCUUCUUGUACAGUAAACUCGUUGGUGAUGUUACAGAGAUUAAAUACUGAAAUAAAGAAUAAUCAAUAA